rnacentral:lncRNA from 1 species
CUUCUCCCGGAAAAGCUUUGCUUUGGUUUUUGUGACCUACAUUUGUAGGACUGCUAAUUAGCAAGCAGCCCUGGGAUCUGCUGUCCCUCAAUGGCUCUGCUGCUUUGGGGUAUGAAGCAAAACAGAAAACAACUUGCCAAAAUCUGAAUGGAAGUAGCUACCUUCUACUGGCUGACAUCUUUAAGUGAACCACGUGGUACAAAAAGACUUCAUAACUGCAGAUCUUUCCAUACAUUGCAUUCAUAUCUUAAUCUGGCACUAUUGAAGUUAAUGUGAGAAGGAUCAAGCAAGGGGUGAAAUGAGUGGUCAUCUCAGUUACCAGUGGUGACUCAGCUCUGCCACUAAAGGUGAUAUCCAUGGAGCUGCAUCUCCAGUCCCAGGGAGAGCGGUUACACAGGUCUUUCUCAGCAGCAGGACUGCAUUAUGCAGCCAUCAUCCUGGUUGCUCAUUCCUGUCCUUUCAUUCUACCACCACUUUGAAGAUACAGCUGGUGAACAAGACAUGGAGCAUUUUCCAGGUUUCCAAUGAAAAACAAUCUGAUAGAAAAUUUCACCUAACGCUUGUAAAUACCUGGUUCAGAUUCUGACCCCUUCCAAAUCUUCAAGAAUGUGAUACUUUACAUUUCAACAUUACAGCCUGCUGCCAUGAAUUUAAAUCUCUGCUGGACAUUCAAGACUACAAAGAAUGCACAGAACUUCACAUCUCACUGGCUUUAGCUUGGAAUGAAGUUCUGUGUUGACUGAAGACUGUUGUCAUGAUCCUCUGCAGAGGGAGAAAAAGAAUUUUGUGGUAGCUGGAUUGGAAGUGGAGGGAUCAAAACAGCAACCAAAAUAGAAAAGAUAGAAAUAAAUGAUUCUGCUGCCUCA